rfam:Pristionchus pacificus strain PS312 contig12669, whole genome shotgun sequence.
UCUUCAUUUUACACACUCUCUCACCGAUCAGAGAGGCGAGAGAGUGUGCGAAAUGAAGAGA